ACAAAUCUGUGGUAUGUUGCGUUGUGAGAAAUUGCACGUGACACCAUUUGCUCCGUGUGCUUGUGCACAUUGUGACAUUUCUGCUUAACAUCUGAUUGUUGUGUAUGGAACAGAAU
rnacentral:misc_RNA from 1 species